CACUAAUGAAGAAAGAAGAAGACAUGAGGAAGUUUUGCCGCGUUUCUUUGUUUUGGAUCUUCAGGCGCAGUUUUUUGACGUUUCGAUACUUCAGAAACCUUUUUAUUUCGCUUACGAAUAACGAGCUAAACGCAGUUUUAUGAUUCUGUGUUGAUUGAACCCAUAUGAGCUAAUUUAGUAUUCAGCGUCUCUGUCGUCUAGCCACUGUAGCUAGUUAACGUUAGCUAGCAACACAGGAGCCUUUCUUGACGUCAGUCGCUAAGGCUUGCUCAUAUCGUGGAUGGUAAUCAAACCCAGCCUGCCACUCUCCUUUACCGGACCUAAAUCUGAGGGUCCUGAUUGUAACAGUAAAGCCCAGAGUGAACAGCAGGCUCCAGAGAUGGCAUCAGUGAAGCAGGAAGACUGCAGUCAAACACUGGGGCUGAAUGUCAACAUUAAAGAUGAAGUAAAGGAGGAAGAGAUUGAAACAUUUGUGUAUCAUGGGCCGGCUGGAGAGCUCAAAGAAAAGACGGAAGAAAAGAAAGUCUUACUACUCAAAGAUAAAGGAAAAAGAAAACCCAAAGGAAUGGAGAAGGAAACUGAAAAAAAGAGGCACCGAUUCACCCCUGGAGAUGAGGAUCUUAUUAUUUCAGGGGUACUUGGGCACUGGGAGGACCUCUUCGGUGCCCAGGCCCACAUUCGCCCCCGGGGGUCAAAGACGGCAACCUGGAACACCAUCGCGGGGACCUUGACCCCUACAUCAGCUGUGGCGAGAUGUGGUGAUGAUGUCCGGAAGAAGUACAAUCUCAUAAGGAGCCAAAUCAAGCAAAAGGUUUCUUCUAUCCGGACAUUGUCCACCCAGACUGGUGGGGGGCCCAACACCGUGCCGGCGCUGACCGACCUGGAGCAGCAACUGCUUUCCCGAAUGGCAGAGACCGAAGCUGGUGUAGGGCCUGCUGAUUUGGGAUUUGAAGGACCUGACUCCGCUGAACUUGAGGUUGAUGUUGAAAUGUCCGGAAAGCAACACCCGACAGUUCAAAGAUAAGAGGUCUUACCACUGUCUUCACUAUGAGAAGAGUUUCCCAUUCCCAUCAUAUCUUAAAAGACACCUGCAGAAACAUACAGAAGAGAAGCCUUACUCCUGCCCUGACAGUGGGAAGUGCUUCAGAACAACUCAUUUAACCACUCACCAGGGAGUGCACACAGGGAAGAAAUCGUAUUCCUGCUCUGACUGUGGCAAGAGUUUCUCAAGACUGAACAUCCUAAAGUUACACCAGCGAACACACACAGGAGAUAAAUCAUUCUCCUGCUCGGACUAGAAAAGUGAUUCGCUAAAUCUAGUAACCUAACAGUGCAUAAGAGUGCACACAGGGGAGAAAUCGUACUCCUGCACUGACUGCGUAAAGUGCUUUGCUACAUCUAGUCAGCUAACCGGUCAUAAGAAUGCACACGGGAGAAAUCGUACUCCUUCUCUGACUGCGUAAAGUGCUUCAUCGCAUAAGCUAACACUUCAUUAAAGAGUGCACACGGGAGAAUCCUUAUUCCUGCUCUGACUGUGGCAAGAGUUGACUGAACAGCCUAAAAUUACACCAGCGAACACACUCGGAGAGAAACCUUACUCAUGCUCUCACUGUGGAAAGUGCUUUGCUACAUCUAGUCAGCUAACCGGUCAUAAGAGUGCACACGGGAAAAGCCUUACUCCUGCUCUGACUGUGGGAAGUGUUUAUCUAAACUGUACAGCCUAAAACGUCACCAGAAAAAACACACACACAGAGGACUGAACCCUUCUGAAUGUUCUGACUGUGGGAAGGACUGAACCCUUAUGACUGUGGGAAGUGAGUCACAAAAAUAGUCUAACUAUUCAACAGGGAGUUCACACGGGAAAAAAAUCUGUGGGAGGGGAUUUCACUCAAAUCGGAUAAGAGUGAAAGUUUGUACACUUAAAUCCCAUUGAAAUGAAGAGGGCAGUCCAUGAGCACAGACGAAAGAUGUUAAGGAUCAGGGAAAAUUCUGUAUUGAGGAAUGGUCUAAGAU
rnacentral:lncRNA from 1 species